rnacentral:rRNA from 1 species
GACGUAGGGCGCGAGCGUUGUCCGGAUUUAUUGGGCGUAAAGAGCUCGUAGGCGGCUUGUCGCGUCGACCGUGAAAACUCGCAGCUCAACUGCGAGCCUGCGGUCGAUACGGGCAGGCUAGAGUUCGGUAGGGGAGACUGGAAUUCCUGGUGUAGCGGUGAAGUGCGCAGAUAUCAGGAGGAACACCGAUGGCGAAGGCAGGUCUCUGGGCAUUAACUGACGCUGAGGAGCGAAAGCAUGGGGAGCGAACAGG